CAGCGCGGUAAUUCCAGCUCCAAUAGCGUAUAUUAAAGUUGUUGCAGUUAAAAAGCUCGUAGUUGAAUUUCGGGAUCAAUAUGUUGGUCGUGCCUUUGGUACGUACUAGCUUAUUGAUUUCUCCCUUCUGACGAACCAUGAUGUCAUUAAUUUGGUGUCAUGGGGAAUCAGGACUGUUACUUUGAAAAAAUUAGAGUGUUUAAAGCAGGCUUACGCUUGAAUAUAUUAGCAUGGAAUAAUGAAAUAGGACGUUUUGAUUCUAUUUUGUUGGUUUCUAGGAUCGACGUAAUGAUUAAUAGGGAUAGUUGGGGGCAUUAGUAUUCAAUUGUCAGAGGUGAAAUUCUUGGAUUUAUUGAAGACUAACUACUGCGAAAGCAUUUGCCAAGGAUGUUUUCAUUAAUCAAGAACGAAAGUUAGGGGAUCGAAGACGAUCAGAUACCGUCGUAGUCUUAACCAUAAACUAUGCCGACUAGGGAUCGGAUGAUGUUAAUUUUUUAAUGACUCAUUCGGCGCCUUACG
rnacentral:misc_RNA from 1 species